rnacentral:rRNA from 1 species
GACGAACGCUGGCGGCGUGCUUAACACAUGCAAGUCGAACGGAAAGGCCCCUUCGGGGGUACUCGAGUGGCGAACGGGUGAGUAACACGUGAGUAACCUGCCCUUGACUUCGGGAUAACUUCAGGAAACUGGGGCUAAUACCGGAUAGGAAUCCUUGCUGCAUGGUGGGGGUUGGAAAGCUUCGGCGGUUUUGGAUGGACUCGCGGCUUAUCAGCUUGUUGGUGGGGUAGUGGCUUACCAAGGCUUUGACGGGUAGCCGGCCUGAGAGGGCGACCGGCCACAUUGGGACUGAGAUACGGCCCAGACUCCUACGGGAGGCAGCAGUGGGGAAGAUUGCACAAUGGGCGGAAGCCGGAUGCAGCAACGCCGCGGGCGGGAUGACGGCCUUCGGGUUGUAAACCGCUUUCAGCAGGGGCGAAGCUUGUGGUGACGGUACCUGCAGAAGAAGCACCGGCUAACUACGUG